AGUCGUGAGGGUUCAAGUCCCUCUAUCCCCAAACCCUCUUUUAUUCGCUAA
rnacentral:tRNA from 1 species